rnacentral:rRNA from 1 species
GAUGAACGCUGGCGGCGUGCCUAAUACAUGCAAGUCGAGCGAACAGACGAGGAGCUUGCUCCUCUGACGUUAGCGGCGGACGGGUGAGUAACACGUGGAUAACCUACCUAUAAGACUGGGAUAACUUCGGGAAACCGGAGCUAAUACCGGAUAAUAUAUUGAACCGCAUGGUUCAAUAGUGAAAGACGGUUUUGCUGUCACUUAUAGAUGGAUCCGCGCCGCAUUAGCUAGUUGGUAAGGUAACGGCUUACCAAGGCAACGAUGCGUAGCCGACCUGAGAGGGUGAUCGGCCACACUGGAACUGAGACACGGUCCAGACUCCUACGGGAGGCAGCAGUAGGGAAUCUUCCGCAAUGGGCGAAAGCCUGACGGAGCAACGCCGCGUGAGUGAUGAAGGUCUUCGGAUCGUAAAGCUCUGUUGUUAGGGAAGAACAAAUGUGUAAGUAACUAUGCACGUCUUGACGGUACCUGAACAGAAAGCCACGGCUAACUACGUG